AGCGAACGCUGGCGGCAGGCCUAACACAUGCAAGUCGAACAAAGUCUUCGGACUUAGUGGCGGACGGGUGAGUAACACGUGGGAACGUGCCUUUAGGUUCGGAAUAACUCAGGGAAACUUGUGCUAAUACCGAAUGUGCCCUUCGGGGGAAAGAUUUAUCGCCUUUAGAGCGGCCCGCGUCUGAUUAGCUAGUUGGUGAGGUAAAGGCUCACCAAGGCUACGAUCAGUAGCUGGUCUGAGAGGAUGACCAGCCACAUUGGGACUGAGAUACGGCCCAAACUCCUACGGGAGGCAGCAGUGGGGAAUCUUGCGCAAUGGGCGAAAGCCUGACGCAGCCAUGCCGCGUGGAUGAUGAAGGUCUUAGGAUUGUAAAAUCCUUUCACCGGUGAAGAUAAUGACUGUAGCCGGAGAAGAAGCCCCGGCUAACUUCGUGCCAGCAGCCGCCGUAAUAC
rnacentral:rRNA from 1 species